rnacentral:rRNA from 1 species
CCUACGGGUGGCAGCAGUGAGGAAUAUUGGUCAAUGGGCGCGAGCCUGAACCAGCCAAGUAGCGUGAAGGAUGACUGCCCUACGGGUUGUAAACUUCUUUUAUAAAGGAAUAAAGUGAGGCACGUGUGCCUUUUUGUAUGUACUUUAUGAAUAAGGAUCGGCUAACUCCGUGCCAGCAGCCGCGGUAAUACGGAGGAUCCGAGCGUUAUCCGGAUUUAUUGGGUUUAAAGGGAGCGUAGAUGGGUUGUUAAGUCAGUUGUGAAAGUUUGCGGCUCAACCGUAAAAUUGCAAUUGAUACUGGCAGUCUUGAGUACAGUUGAGGUAGGCGGAAUUCGUGGUGUAGCGGUGAAAUGCUUAGAUAUCACGAAGAACUCCGAUUGCGAAGGCAGCUUUCCAAGCUAUUACUGACGCUGAGGCACGAAAGCGUGGGGAGCGAACAGGAUUAGAUGCCCCGGUAGUC